rnacentral:rRNA from 1 species
GUGGGGAAUUUUGGACAAUGGGCGCAAGCCUGAUCCAGCAAUGCCGCGUGCAGGAAGAAGGCCUUCGGGUUGUAAACUGCUUUUGUACGGAACGAAACGGUCCUGGUUAAUACCUGGGGCUAAUGACGGUACCGUAAGAAUAAGCACCGGCUAACUACGUGCCAGCAGCCGCGGUAAUACGUAGGGUGCAAGCGUUAAUCGGAAUUACUGGGCGUAAAGCGUGCGCAGGCGGUUUUGUAAGACAGGCGUGAAAUCCCCGGGCUCAACCUGGGAAUUGCGCUUGGGACUGCAAGGCUGGAGUGCGGCAGAGGGGGAUGGAAUUCCGCGUGUAGCAGUGAAAUGCGUAGAUAUGCGGAGGAACACCGAUGGCGAAGGCAAUCCCCUGGGCCUGCACUGACGCUCAUGCACGAAAGCGUGGGGAGCAAACAGGAUUAGAUACCCUAGUAGUCC